rnacentral:tRNA from 3 species
GCUUGCGUGGCUCAGUGGUAGAGCACUCCCUUGGUAAGGGAGAGGUCAUGGGUUCAAUUCCCAUCGCAAGCUCCA